GCCUAGGUGGUGAAAUGGUAGACACAGAGGAUUCAAAAUCCUCCGCCCUUAAAAGCGUGCGAGUUCGAGUCUCGCCCUGGGCACCA
rnacentral:tRNA from 1 species